rnacentral:rRNA from 1 species
AGAUAGAAAGUUACUUCGGUACAUCGGUGACAGGUGGUGCAUGGUUGUCGUCAGCUCGUGUCGUGAGAUGUUGGGUUAAGUCCCGCAACGAGCGCAACCCCUAUUGUUAGUUGCCCAUCAUUCAGUUGGGCACUCGUAGCGAGGACUGCCGGUAAUAAACCGGAGGAAAGGUGGGGAUGGACGUCAAAUCAUCAUGCCCCUUAUGACCUGGGCUACACACGUGCUACAAUGGUUGGUACAACGAGUUGCGAGUCGGUGACGGCGAGCUAAUCUCUUAAAGCCAAAUCUUAGUUCGGAUUGUAGGCUGCAACUCGCCUACAUGAAGUCGGAAUCGCUAGUAAUCGCGGAUCAGCACGCCGCGGUGAAUACGUUCCCGGGCCUU